GCCAGAGUGACUAUACCAUUAGGACCUGUGUUUUCUGGAAUGUAAGUGCAACAAGUCAUAGUGUCGGGAAGUAUUUUACAGACCCCCCUUUUUCGGCUAAGAUCAUGUCUAAGGCUAGUCUGUUCUGGAAGGUCAUUUGGGAUGUGGCCUGUAAUUGCUCGGCCAAGCCCUGGAGGGCAUCCCUGGUGUAGUUCACGAAGCGCUGUUGGUUGUAAUAGAUAUAAUUAAUCCAAUUAAGGUUUUUGAUGGCAGUGACUAUGGUAAAAAGUGAUUCAAAACCUACAGCUACUUCAUCUCUAGCUUUAAAUUCAUUAGGUACCCCCCUAGGCACCCCAAUGGCAUCUAUGUAAAUGUGGGGGUCAAAACUGCCUUUUACUGGGGUUUCGCACCUUACUCUGGCUGAUGUAUGUGGAGGGUCGUAUGUGUCAUGAUGAUUAUCAGAAAUAAUAUGAAUGGGCAUGAUAACUUUGGCCAGGGUACACUCACCCCACCACUCAGUUUCCAGCCUAGAUCUUAACUGUAGAUCCCCACAUAACCAGUAAAUAUCCC